AGCGCAAGAGUGGGACCUCAGUCACAGCUGCUUUAAAAGGGGAAAGUUUCAGUAUUUGGUGUGCAGUGCUGUGGCUGAUGAAGUCGACAGAUCAAGCCCACAAUAUAAGUAGCGGGACACCGACAAGGGUUUUUACAUUCAAGCGCUGUCUAUUGAAACUAAUCUGGAAGGUUUUCUGGAACCCAAAGAUGACAUUCUUUCUUGUCUUCGUAUUCAUUUCAGAACCACCAUUUUCCUCCAGUAUAGAGCCAAGACAAACCUCCAUCUCAAAACCUCCCAACGUCUCUGAAAGACACAGGCUAUGUGUGUUACCUGCUCUAGUUGUAUUCAGCCUGGGGGUCUUAGGGGUUUAUUUGCUCUAUAAAUGGAAGAGGGGAUGUGAGCCAGUAGCUGAUGCUGAAGCAGCCAGAGAUCCAGUGUGAAGCGCUUGCAUUCAGUGAAGAACACAAGCGACUUAUGAAUGACACAAAUGAUUUCAACUAGUUUAAAGCCAGAUGAAACAGCACUGACAAAUAGCAGAAGCACUGUGAGCAAUGAGACAGUCAGAAGCCUUUUCAGUCUAUAAAUCGCCAUCAUUUACCAUGGGUUUACUGUAGUAACACGAACCACUAUGGUAUUGUGGCAGAGAUGCGGGAUAUUCAGAUAGAAUUUUAUUAUAUUAUUCACGUAGACUAUAGCGUUUGUGCUUUUAUACUAAAUGUGUUUCGACUACUGUUUUUCAUACAAAUACCUAGAAACAAAGUUAAAUUUUUACCUUGGUGUUGAGGUGUUAUGUGUGGUUUUAACUGUGGUUAUCAUGAUCUAAAUGUGUGCUAUAUGGAAGACCAGUGGUUAAAUUUAAUAAAACUCAAAUAGUCAGAACAAUUACAUUUCACCAUAAUUUUUUUACAAU
rnacentral:lncRNA from 1 species